rnacentral:miRNA from 1 species
AGAGAGACACAGACAAAACGUUU